rnacentral:rRNA from 1 species
UGGGGAAUAUUGCGCAAUGGGCGAAAGCCUGACGCAGCGACGCCGCGUGAGGGAUGAAGGUCUUCGGAUCGUAAACCUCUGUCAGAAGGGAAGAAACUAGGGUGCUCUAAUCAUCAUCCUACUGACGGUACCUUCAAAGGAAGCACCGGCUAACUCCGUGCCAGCAGCCGCGGUAAUACGAGGGGGGCAAGCGUUGUCCGGAAUCACUGGGCGUAAAGGGAGCGUAGGCGGAUGUUUAAGUUAAGUGUGAAAGCCUGGGGCUUAACUCCAGAAAUGCACUUAAUACUGGACAACUAGAGUGUGGGAGAGGUAAGUGGAAUUCCUAGUGUAGCGGUAAAAUGCGUAGAGAUUAGGAGGAACACCAGAGGCGAAGGCGGCUUACUGGACCACAACUGACGCUGAGGCUCGAAAGCGUGGGGAGCAAACAGGAUUAGAUACCCUGUAGU